UACAAAAAUACCACUGACACCAUCUAUGA
rnacentral:piRNA from 1 species